rnacentral:tRNA from 1 species
UCGGGGUGUAGCGCAGCCUGGUAGCGCACUUGCUUCGGGAGCAAGGAGUCGGAGGUUCAAAUCCUCUCACCCCGAU